rnacentral:rRNA from 1 species
GACGAACGCUGGCGGCGUGCUUAACACAUGCAAGUCGAACGGAAAGGCCCUGCUUUUGUGGGGUGCUCGAGUGGCGAACGGGUGAGUAACACGUGAGUAACCUGCCCUUGACUUUGGGAUAACUUCAGGAAACUGGGGCUAAUACCGGAUAGGAGCUCCUGCUGCAUGGUGGGGGUUGGAAAGUUUCGGCGGUUGGGGAUGGACUCGCGGCUUAUCAGCUUGUUGGUGGGGUAGUGGCUUACCAAGGCUUUGACGGGUAGUCGGCCUGAGAGGGUGACCGGCCACAUUGGGACUGAGAUACGGCCCAGACUCCUACGGGAGGCAGCAGUGGGGAAUAUUGCACAAUGGGCGGAAGCCUGAUGCAGCAACGCCGCGUGCGGGAUGAAGGCCUUCGGGUUGUAAACCGCUUUCGCCUGUGACGAAGCGUGAGUGACGGUAAUGGGUAAAGAAGCACCGGCUAACUACGUG